UGCCAAAGAAAAAGGUUCCACUUCCCAUGCCUUUAUGACAGUGGACGCUCACAGCAACAGCCACACCCCAUUCCUCCUGGUCCCCUGUGCUUUCGAGCUUGUAAUUAUUGUCAACACUUGCCCUUCACAGAAAAAGCCAGCCAGGCUCUGCUCUGGACAAACCCUGAUACUCUUGCUGUGCCUGGGAGUUACCGAAGUGGAGAGGGAUUGGAAGUCAGCUCUCUGGUGCUUAAACCGUGGGACAGGAUACAUGCCAUACAGGGGAAGAACCCCACUGGCCUCCGACCUCAUAUGUCUCGCACUCUGGAGGAUGCACAGCACUGUGGCUUCUACUCACAGUGAGCACCUUUGGAGUCUGCUAAAUGUCACAUUCUGAGACCAUAGCUCUCAGCUCUAUGGUAUUGACAGUCAGGAAAAGACAGCACCAGGCCCAGCUGCAGAAGUGCUCUGCCUGGAGCACGGCCCCCAUGGGCCCUCAGCGUAAGGCAGAGAGUGCCUGCCUCUCCAGCACCACACAUCUGCCUUCUGGUACUGUUGACUCCCUCCCCCCCCCAAGCCUAUAAACAAAACAAACCCAAUGACCAAACAAACAGGGAAUUUCCAACUGCUUGGGUAGAAGGCAGCGAAUGUGAGGUGUUAUUUAUUCCCUGCCUGGGUGCCCGGAGCUUGGAAAGAAACAUGCAUGGUGCAAUUCCCUACCAUGCAGGGAGAGAAGCCUUUGAGAGAUGCCGAAGUGCACACAUUCCACCGAGCUUCAAUUAAGAACUGAGAGGAGAUGAGGAGGCUGUCUGGUGGACCAGCAGGCCUCCCUCUCCACGGUCACUUCCUUCCCAAACUGUCUGGUGGACCAGCGGGGCCUUUCUCACCACAGGCACCUCCUUUCUAGGCUCCCCGACUCCCAGAAGUCGGGCUUCUGGUCACCCCCACUUUGACCGGCUUACAGCCCUGGCAGCUGGAAGCCAGGAGUAGAAACCUCGCUAACUCAAUCAAUGAGCUCUGACAAGCCUAAAUGGUUGUUUGGAAGGGGCCUCUCUCAUCCACCUCCCUUGUUGCCCGAAACCUCAAAUACAAUAAAUUAAAUAAAACAUGAGAUACAA